rnacentral:rRNA from 1 species
UACGUAGGGGGCAAGCGUUGUCCGGAAUCAUUGGGCGUAAAGAGCGUGUAGGCGGCCCGGUAAGUCCGCUGUGAAAGUCCAGGGCUCAACCCUGGGAUGCCGGUGGAUACUGUCGGGCUCGAGUCCGGAAGAGGAGUGUGGAAUUCCUGGUGUAGCGGUGAAAUGCGCAGAUAUCAGGAGGAACACCAAGUGGCGAAGGCAGGCACUCGUCGGGCAAUUAACUGACGCUGAGGCGCGAAAGCGUGGGGAGCAAACAGGA